UAACCCACUGCUGACACCAAAACACUUAGCUGAGAAACUCAUAACUUAAUCGCAAGAUUUUUGUUGCCUUUCGUUUCGGCGAACAAGAAUAGUUUACUUGUCAAUUUCGCCUCACAACCACGCGUGGAUCUCAUAUUCUCUCUAGUUCUCACAGCUUCUCGAAAGAUGAAGAUUUUAUAGCAAAUUCAAGAUUAGCCAGUUCACUUUUGGCUUUAAUUUUUCAUUCUACUGAGAUUUUGGUUGUUUUCUUGGCAUUUUUAGGCAAAAUGGCUUGGAAAUAUAAAGCUGGGUUAGGAUUGAUUGGCACGGUUGUGUUCAUAUGGGUUGCUUCUGCAGAGGUCACUCAGAACAUCUUUGAAAAGUAUAAACAGCCGUUCGCACUCACGUAUCUUGGGGUGUCUCUUAUGGUGGUCUAUCUACCCAUAGCGUUUAUAAAAGACUGGUUCUGUAGUUUAUUUCACACUUACUUGCUCAAGGACAUCUACGGUGGCAGCUCUAUUACUAGCUCUUCUACUGGACUUGAUAUCCCCCUUACAACCAAUGAUAUGUACCAAGGCCCAGAAACUGAAGCCAGUUGCUGCCUAGUAACUGACAAAGAUCCUCUCAGUCAAAGGGAGGAGGGGUGGCCUGUGAUCGUGAAGAAGGGCGACGAAGAACCUCCCUUACUUGAACGGCAUUGCAAAGCUAGUUCAUGGGAAGUUGCCAAGUGCAGUUUAUGUCUUGCUCCAAUCUGGUUUGUGGCAGAGGUAAUUUAUUCAUUCAUCUUCUAUUCAUUAGGAGACAUUGGUCUUGCAAAGCAGCUUGAUGGGGAGUGGGGCAAUCUAUUGUAUAUUGCCCAUAGCUAACAUAAAAGGUCAAAAGAAAAGAAAAGAAAAGACAUUCCCAUUUAAGGGCUAAGCAAUUACUCUUCCCAACUAAGUGUAAUUAUUCUUUUCUUAUUGUUUAUGGUUUUGAAGAUAGGUACUUUACUGUUAUAAUUGAUUGUGAAUAGGAGUCUGACAAAUUCAAAUAAACUCUGUGGCCCAGAAAAUCAUGGUCUUUCCACUGCUAAGUCACUAUUGCAACAGAUGAGAGAAGUUGUAAUUCUGUUAACUGAGAAACAGCAUUCGCCAAUGAUUUCACAAUAUAUGACAAUCUAAUUCCCUUUCUGGUUUCUUAAGUUUUCUGGUGAUUUAAAUUUAAUAUCAGCUCCAUCAUGAAUGCUGACCAGUGAUGUGAAAUGGCUGCUGAUUUGCCAAAGCUGAUACUAAUAGAUAAUCUAGUUAUCUAGACCUAAUAAUUCAGGAUUUGACCAACUGUAUGAGAAGCAGAUGCCCCAUGUUCAAUUGUUUGCAGCGAGUCAGUUGUACAUAUUUAUAUUCUACUGCUGCAUGUGUCGUUGGUAAUUGGCAACCUGAUCUGAGUUUGAUGUCUCACAUGUAGUGUGGACCUUCUAUUACUUCGGUUUCAUAGUUUUCUAUGAGAUGGCAGUCAUAAAGGUCCCUUUUUAAACAUUUUGUAUAAUUAUUUUAGUUACUUUGAUAAUGCAGUAUCUAUCCAAUUCAGCUUUAGCAAAUACAAGUGUUGCAAAUACAACUGUCUUGACUUCUACUUCGGCACUCUUUACUCUUUUCUUUGGAGCUCUUCUUGGCCAGGACUCCAUAAAUGCUGCCAAGUUGGUUGCUGUGUUUAUCAGCAUGGCUGGUGUAGCCAUGACCACAGUUGGAAAAACUUCAGCAGCAGACGAAAUGUUAAGCGUCUCUGAGGCAAGAAGGCAUUCAAUCAUGGGGGACAUAUUUGGCCUUUUCUCAGCAAUAUCAUCUGGUUUAUUUGCAGUACUGCUCAAGAGAUGUGCUGGAUCAGAAGGUGAGAAGGUUGAUAUGCAAAAGUUCUUGGGCUAUAUUGGUCUUUUCACCCUUCUUGGGCCUUGGUGGCUUUGUAAGUAGUUAAAAGUUACAAGCUUUUAUGCCCAUCAAUUGCGUCUGAAAAACACAUGCAUGAGAACUAUAAUCUGAGAGUUAAUAUUAUAAAGUUUCAACAUGUAGCCUAUCAAUUGAAAGAUAAAGAGGAAUUUUUAAAAUUCCAUAUAUUUAUCAUGAAAUGUUGGGAAGAGUUCAGUGAUUAAGGUUUCUCAAACCUCUAAUUUGGCAACUGUAAUCUGCUGUCCAGGCUUCUCCAACUCAAAAGUACCAAUAAUUUUUCUCUAAUGUUUUUUACACUAUAUUUAGGUUAGAUUUUACUUUGGUAUGUACCUUAAUUGUUGUUUUAUGGUUGAUUAGGAGCUCAUGAUUUUUCUCUGGUACAGUCAAAUCAUUAGCGAUGGAAGCCAUAUAGUAGUUUCUAAUUGAUAUGCAGCAUCAAAAAUCUUCAAUUUUUCCUAAUCUUAUCUUACUACCCCUUGUUCUCAUCCUUUUUUUUUCCCUGUAUUUUUAUUCCUUUUCUUGUUCUUUUGUGGGCACCUGGGGUUGUGAUCUUGCUCUAAAUCCCGUUUCUUAUUUUCAUAAUUCCUUCCUGUAUUUCUUCUACAGUUGUACAUUUCAUAGUAAUAUUGUUCCUUGCAGUGUUUCCACUGAAUGCUGUGGGGAUUGAACCAGCAUUCAGGUUCCCAGAUUCUACAUAUGUUGGCGAAGUUUUGCUGUUAAAUGGCUUUAUAGGGAGUGUUCUGUCAGAUUACUUGUGGGCACUUUCUGUGAUUUGGACGACUCCGCUGGUUGCGACAUUGGGCGUUUCCUUGACAAUACCCCUUGCAAUGGUAGCUGACAUGGUUAUACAUGGCCGUCACUACUCUGCAAUCUACAUCUCUGGAUGUAUUCAGGUUUUUGCAGGUUUCAUUAUAGCCAACAUUUCAGACAAAUUUUCACUCAAGAGGGAGUUAUAGCAGUCAUGAACUCUUCCAAGAAGCAUAAUCCUGUAAAUGGGGAGAGUGUACACCAAAUCUUGAAUGAUGAACCUGUUUUAGAAUGUUACAAUAAAUGGUUGUUUGCUUUUUAUGAGGUGGCCCUGCUAAGCUAGACUGUUAUGUAUUCACUUUGCUAAUGCAGUUUUUGAAUGUCAUCUGAAUUCCAUUCCUUCUGAAAAUGCAAUAAAUUGCAAUACCACUGGAUAAUGGUUCUGUUCCUAUUAAGGUUUUCUCAUGCUAGCUCUGCUAAUUCUAAAGCCUAGAAGGAAUGGUAUCAAUGGAGAAAUAACUUGUCCUUUGAAUUGAAAAAAUUAGUUUUUUUCUAAAAAUUAUUCAAUUUUUUUUUAAAUUCACUAUUUUUUUUAUAAGGAAAAUAUUUUCUUCUUGUGAGUCUAAUGAAAAUGAAAUUGAAAUCCAUCUAAUGGAUUAAUGUAAUUUAGAAUUGAAAUCAAAUUAAAAUUAGUGUGUAUCAGAAAAAUUAGUUGAUCUGAUUUAUUUUUGAAGUAAAACUG
rnacentral:misc_RNA from 1 species